rnacentral:rRNA from 1 species
ACCAUAGAGCGUUGGAACCACCUGAUCCCAUCCCGAACUCAGUAGUGAAACGAUGCAUCGCCGAUGGUAGUGUGGGGUUUCCCCAUGUGAGAGUAGGUCAUCGUCAAGA